CUCAAAAUUAAAAUAUCAUCAUCAUCUUUGAAUCGAGAGAUUCAGGUUGAGUAACAACAUAGAAAGCCACAUGCGAUAAAUUUUUACAGUCAAGCACCAGAAGAGUCUUUCAUCUCCGUCACCAAGAGCCACUUGCUGCGGAUCUACUCCCCUCGAGUUUUGUGGUAAGUGGUAAUACAGAUGAGUCAUUAUUUUGGUUUUAGGUGACAGUUGCGUUCAAGAUUAGUCCGUAACCAAGCUACCAAGUACCAACUUACAUGUAAAUGUCCGUAACCUAGUCUAUAAAUCCAGACGAAUUGAUCAAACGAUUGAUGUAACAAAGUUGAUCAACGGUUUCAAAGAACCAAUUUGAAACCUGUGUAGUCUGGUCGCAUUCAUAUGGAAAUGGAACAUAUAAAAAGAUUAAGGAGACA